AUUGAACGCUGGCGGAAUGCUUUACACAUGCAAGUCGAACGGUAGAGGGGGCAACCCCUUUGAGAGUGGCGAACGGGUGAGUAAUAUAUCGGAACGUGCCCAGUCGUGGGGAUAACGUAGCGAAAGUUACGCUAAUACCGCAUACGAUCUAAGGAUGAAAGCGGGGGAUCGCAAGACCUCGCGCGAUUGGAGCGGCCGAUAUCAGAUUAGGUAGUUGGUGAGGUAAAGGCUCACCAAGCCAACGAUCUGUAGCUGGUCUGAGAGGACGACCAGCCACACUGGAACUGAGACACGGUCCAGACUCCUACGGGAGGCAGCAGUGGGAAUUUUGGACAAUGGACGCAAGUCUGAUCCAGCCAUUCCGCGUGCAGGAUGAAGGCCCUCCGGGUUGUUAAACUGCUUUUUAGUACGGAACGAAAAGGUUUCUAUUAAUACUAGGUAG
rnacentral:rRNA from 1 species